UGGGGUAUAGCCAAGUUGGUAAGGCAACGGGUUUUGAUCCCGUCAUUCGUAGGUUCGAGUCCUGCUACCCCAGCCA
rnacentral:tRNA from 12 species